CCCAGCCUCGCUGUCGCCUUGCAGUUUGAUCUCAGACUGCUGUGCUAGCAAUCAGCGAGACUCCGUGGGCGUAGGACCCUCCGAGCCAGGUGCGGGAUAUAGUCUGGUGGUGCGCCGUUUUUUAAGUCGGUCUGAAAAGCGCAAUAUUCGGGUGGGAGUGACCCGAUUUUCCAGGUGCGUCCGUCACCCCUUUCUUUGACUCGGAAAGGGAACUCCCUGACCCCUUGCGCUUCCCAGGUGAGGCAAUGCCUCGCCCUGCUUCGGCUCGCACACAGUGCACACACCCACUGGCCUGCAUCCACUGUCUGGCACUCCCUAGUGAGAUGAACCCGGUACCUCAGAUGGAAAUGCAGAAAUCACCCGUCUUCUGCGUCGCUCACGCUGGGAGCUGUAGACCGGAGCUGUUCCUAUUCGGCCAUCUUGGGUCUGGAUUCGGCAUUACAUGUCUUAACGGAAAAAUCAACUCAAGAUGGAUUAAGGACUUAAACCUAAGACUUGAAACUAUAAAAAUUCUAGAAGAUAACAUUGGAAAAACCCUUCUAGACAUUGACUUAGAUAAGUAUUUCAUGACCAAGAACCCAAAAGCAAAUGCAAUAAAAACAAAGAUAAAUAACUAGGACCUAACUGAACUAAGAGCUUUUGUGCAGCAAAAAGAACAGUCAGCAGAGUAAACAGACAACCUACAGAGUGGGAGAAAAUCUUCACAAUCUAUACAUCUGACAAAGGACUAAUAUUCAGAAUCCACAACAAACACAAAUCAGUGAAAAAAUCCUAUCAAAAAGUGGGCUAAGGACAUAAAUAGACAAUUCUCAAAAGAAGAUAUACAAACGUCCAAUAAACAUGCAAAAAAUGCUCAACAUCACUAAUGAUCAGGGAAAUGCAAAUCAAAACCACAAUGUGAUAUCACUUUGCUCCUGCAAGAAUGGCCAUAAUCAAAAAAUUGAAAAACAGUAGAUGUUGGCGUGGGUGUGGUGAUAAGGGAACACUUCUACACUGCUGGUGGGAAUGUAAACUAGUACAGCCACUGUGGAAAAUGGUGUGGAGAUUCCUUAAAGAAUGAAAAGUAGAACUACCAUUUGAUCCAGCAAUCCCGUUACUGGGUAUCUACCCAGAGGAAAAGAAGUCAUUAUUCAAAAAAGAUAACUUGCACACACAUGUUUAUAGCAGCGCAGUUCACGAUUGCAAAAUCGUGGAACCAUCCAAAUACCCAUCAAUCAAUGAGUAAAGAAACUGUGGUGUGUAUAUAUAUAUAUAUAUAUGAUGGUAUACUACAUAGCCAUAAAAAGGAAUGAAUCAACAGCAUUUGCAGUGACCUGGAUGAGACUGGAGACUAUUAUUCUAAGUGAAGUAACUCAGGAAUGGAAAACCAAACAUCGUAUGUUCUCACUGAUAUAUGGGAGCUAAGCUAUGAGGACGCAAGGGCAUAGGAAUGAUACAAUGGACUUUGGGGAUUUGGGGAAAGGGAUAGGAGGGGGCAAGGGAUAAAAGACUUCAACUAGGGUGCUGUGUAUACUGCUCAGGUGAUGGGUCCACCAAAAUAUUGCAAAUCACCACUAAAGAACUUAUGUAACCAAAUAUCACCUGUACCCCAAUAACUUAUGGAAAAAUAAAAAGUAUAAAUAAAAUAAAAAAUAAAAUAAAUGCACACCCCAACCCCAUGCCAAAAAGAAAGAAAGAAUAAAAGAUACAAUCCUAUAGACUUAGAUUCUCUAGAAUUCCGUGUGUGAUCAUGGUUCAUAGCCUUCUGAUAUGUCCGUUUUAGUCCACCUGUGGUUGAGAUUUCUCUAGGCGCGGACCCAUCCACCGCAUGUACCCCUCC
rnacentral:lncRNA from 1 species